GAGAUGAAACCGGCACUUCAUUUUCCUACUGUUUUGUAAAUGUUAAAGGAAAGGUUCACUAGACUGGAAAUAGCAAAUGUACUCACAUUCAAAGCAAAAAUGAGCCACAAUGGGAAGAUGCAGACAAAUAAUUUUAACGUCUGAGGUAUGGAAACAUUACAAGCUGUUAAAGACUAUAGCAGGGCAUCGAGAGAGAAGAAAAUCAAGACUGGUCUCAUCGACAUCAGAUCACACAAAACUGGAGUGAAAGCAGAUCACCAUUGAUCCUAAGGGACUGCUUAAGAAAGAUCUUGAGGGAAUGAGGUAGAAGGAAUCCCAUCAAAAGGAUAUGAAGAACAAAGUAAUCUAGCCAAAAGUCAGACUUGCAAUGUGCGAGUUCCCAGUUAAAAUAAUUAAGUAAAUAAUUCAAAGGAAUAACAAAAUGUGGUAUUGAGUGGAAUGGUACCAUGUGUUUGCAACUUGGAAAUAUUUGAUCAUAAAAUUAGCUUUGAACAACUUAUCGGCCUAUUUCUCUCUCCAUUUAAAGAACAGCUAGCUCCCUAUUCCUGGCUGUGCUCAACCACUGAUAAGAUUUUCAUUUGUUUGUUUAUGUAGACUUUUUCAUUAAUUCUAUUGUGUCCUUUAUUUUCCUGUAAAUGCCUGCAAGAACAUGAAUCUUAAGGUAACAUAUAUGUACUUUGAUAAUAAGUUUUCCUUUGACUUGGGUACAUCUAGAUUUGUCUCCUGACCAGCCACCACUGUUUGACCUUGAAAUAAAAAUAAUUCAGAAUUAAUGUGUCCUAAUUUGCACAGCUCCAUUCAUUCUGUAUUUAUC